AAUAGAUUUUAGCUGCAAGUCCACAAAGAACUCAUGGAAAGUGAUUUUUCUUCUCAUCGAUGUCCUAACAAUUGUAUUCCCAUGCCUAGUAUUCUGCCUCCGGAGAUACCACGACGGGGGUGCACCAGGCAUCGUUUGUGCUGUUCACGGUGUUAUGGCCACUGCAAGAAUCAGCGACCUAUUACGUGCUGCUGAAAAGUGUGAAGAGAAACCUGAGGACCUCUUUCGCAUUUACACCUCUUAUGACCAAAUACUGCUGGCGGUUUGUGCUUUCCUGACCUUAGGAACGUGUGUUAUAUCCGGAAUGGCCUAUUACCCGAAACUCCCGC
rnacentral:lncRNA from 1 species